AACACAUGCAAGUCGAGGGGAAACGACAUCGAAAGCUUGCUUUUGAUGGGCGUCGACCGGCGCACGGGUGAGUAACGCGUAUCCAACCUGCCCACCACUUGGGGAUAACCUUGCGAAAGUAAGACUAAUACCCAAUGACGUCUCUAGAAGACAUCUGAAAGAGAUUAAAGAUUUAUCGGUGAUGGAUGGGGAUGCGUCUGAUUAGCUUGUUGGCGGGGUAACGGCCCACCAAGGCAACGAUCAGUAGGGGUUCUGAGAGGAAGGUCCCCCACAUUGGAACUGAGACACGGUCCAAACUCCUACGGGAGGCAGCAGUGAGGAAUAUUGGUCAAUGGACGAGAGUCUGAACCAGCCAAGUAGCGUGCAGGAUGACGGCCCUAUGGGUUGUAAACUGCUUUUAUAAGGGAAUAAAGUGAGUCUCGUGAGAUUUUUUGCAUGUACCUUAUGAAUAAGGACCGGCUAAUUCCGUGCCAGCAGCCGCGGUAAUACGGAAGGUCCGGGCGUUAUCCGGAUUUAUUGGGUUUAAAGGGAGCGUAGGCCGGAGAUUAAGCGUGUUGUGAAAUGUAGACGCUCAACGUCUGCACUGCAGCGCGAACUGGUUUCCUUGAGUACGCACAAAGUGGGCGGAAUUCGUGGUGUAGCGGUGAAAUGCUUAGAUAU
rnacentral:rRNA from 1 species